AUAUACUUUUUCUUUCUUGCUUUUUUCCCUGGCAAGGAAAUCAUUUUGAAACAGUAAAUUUCACUUUCUUUCUAAUCUCUCUAGAUUUUUUUUCUAAAUACAACUUUGCCUUGAACCUGUUUAAUCCCGUUUUUAACUCUAGCGUACAGCCGUUAAUGCACGAUGGAUUCCCAGGCUGAAAAUCCCGUACAGGCUACACUGGACUCUGCUUUGUGAGUGUGCAAGUGUGUAGAUGCAGGUGUAAGAACUGUAACCAAAAACGCUUUGUUUAUUAAAAAAAAAAAGUAAUACAUAUAUAUAAUGCCUUAUAAAAGAAUUGAACAGGAUCAGAAUCUACGGUACGUGUAACAGGUGAGAGUGAGUGCUGGGUUAGGCGGUGCACGCUGCGGUCACCGCCUGGAGUUGCGUUGAGAUUCUCUUUGCUCUUCCUUCGAGCACCACUGCGGUACUCCUUGCUGCAAUGGAUUAAUUGGAGUAAUCUUCCGUGGGGCGUGGAGUUUCUGCAUCCAGCAAAACUCCACCAUGCACACGUCUGAGGCUCCUUAAGGAAAAGCUGACCACGUCCCAUGUCAAUCUGAGACUGAACUGGACAGCUGAAUGCCAAAAUCUGCUCCGGUCUUGCUGUUCCGAAGUCUCAAACAGAUGUCAGCGCCUUUACCGAAGAACACACUAAAAAGUGGAUUAGACAAGCACACAGGGAACGCUGGAUUCAGACUGACAGCCAAGGUGAGAGCUGAUUUCUCAGCAUAUUUAUUUUAAAACUCUUUAACACAUAUUACUAGAGGACUCUCAGAUUCAUCCCCCACCCCACUCCACCCCAACUCCAAAGCUGGGUGUAGUUCAACCCUCCUCCAAGCAAAAAACCAGAAUAAUCAGAAUUAAUAGGGGACUGAUACUCUCACCCUCCCACUCACAGACACAGAGCCAGGCUAUGAACCUGUAUUACAGCUCCUCAACAGUUUUUUCCAGCCCACAGGUUGUAAAAAGUAGUCAGUCACACCAUCGCUCUGUGCAAUAGUAUCUGCGUUAUUUAUUAGCCAAUGGACUUACUCUGUCCCUUUUUUCAACCCAGCUUUAGUGACUGCGUAUUCAGGGUCAGUUCGCUCACAUCCCUACAAGUUGCGUAGGGGUGAGGAGAGGCAGAGGCAGGGAUUUUCCAUGACUGUUCACUUUCUAACUCUCAGCACAGCUCCACUUUGUG
rnacentral:lncRNA from 1 species